rnacentral:rRNA from 1 species
GGACGAACGCUGGCGGCGUGCUUAACACAUGCAAGUCGAGCGAUGAAGCUUCCUUCGGGAAGUGGAUUAGCGGCGGACGGGUGAGUAACACGUGGGUAACCUGCCUCAAAGUGGGGGAUAGCCUUCCGAAAGGAAGAUUAAUACCGCAUAACAUAAGAUAAUCGCAUGAUUUUCUUAUCAAAGAUUUAUUGCUUUGAGAUGGACCCGCGGCGCAUUAGCUAGUUGGUAAGGUAAUGGCUUACCAAGGCAACGAUGCGUAGCCGACCUGAGAGGGUGAUCGGCCACAUUGGAACUGAGACACGGUCCAGACUCCUACGGGAGGCAGCAGUGGGGAAUAUUGCGCAAUGGGGGAAACCCUGACGCAGCAACGCCGCGUGGGUGAUGAAGGUCU